rnacentral:rRNA from 1 species
CCUACGGGAGGCAGCAGUGGGGAAUAUUGCACAAUGGGGGAAACCCUGAUGCAGCGACGCCGCGUGAGUGAAGAAGCGUUUCGGCGCGUAAAGCUCUGUCAGCGGGGAAGAAACACGGUUCGCGAGAGCCGCGGCCGGUACCCGACCAAGAAGCCCCGGCUAACUACGUGCCAGCAGCCGCGGUAAUACGUAGGGGGCAAGCGUUCUCCGGAUUCACUGGGUGUAAAGGGUGCGUAGACGGCGCGACAAGUCUGGAGUGAAAGGGCGGGGCCCAACCCCGGGACUGCUCUGGAAACUGGCUGGCUGGAGUACAGGAGAGGUAAGUGGAAUUCGUAGUGUAGCGGUGAAAUGCGUAGAUAUUAGGAGGAACACCAGGGGCGAAGGCGGCUUACUGGACUGUAACUGACGUUGAGGCUCGAAAGCGUGGGGAGCAAACAGGAUUAGAUACCCCGGUAGUC